rnacentral:rRNA from 1 species
UGAUCCUGCGCCGAGGAUGUCCGGGGCUAAAACUUACUACGGGAGGUACGGCAUCAGUAAUGAUGGGUAUGGGCGCUUCCCAUACGGGUUGAAGCAUGACCGUAAGGACAUGUGGACAGUAUGGGAGUGAGAAUGUUGGCAUGAGUAGCGAGAUGUGGGGGAGAAUCCAACAGGCCGUAAACCCAAGGUUUCCAGGGGAAGGUUCGUCCGCCCUGGGUUAGUCGGGACCUAAGCUGAGGCCGAAAGGCGUAGGUGAUGGACAACAGGUUGAUAUUCCUGUACUACCGAUAACC